GGCAGUCUCUGGGCUGUUACUGACGCUGAGGAGCGAAAGCAUGGGGAGCGAACAGGAUUAGAUACCCUGGUAGUCCAUGCCGUAAACGUUGGGCACUAGGUGUGGGGGACAUUCCACGUUUUCCGCGCCGUAGCUAACGCAUUAAGUGCCCCGCCUGGGGAGUACGGCCGCAAGGCUAAAACUCAAAGGAAUUGACGGGGGCCCGCACAAGCGGCGGAGCAUGCGGAUUAAUUCGAUGCAACGCGAAGAACCUUACCAAGGCUUGACAUUCACCGGACCGCCCCAGAGAUGGGGUUUCCCUUCGGGGCUGGUGGACAGGUGGUGCAUGGUUGUCGUCAGCUCGUGUCGUGAGAUGUUGGGUUAAGUCCCGCAACGAGCGCAACCCUCGUUCUAUGUUGCCAGCACGUGAUGGUGGGGACUCAUAGGAGACCGCCGGGGUCAACUCGGAGGAAGGUGGGGAUGACGUCAAAUCAUCAUGCCCCUUAUGUCUUGGGCUUCACGCAUGCUACAAUGGCCGGUACAAAGGGUUGCGAUACUGUGAGGUGGAGCUAAUCCCAAAAAGCCGGUCUCAGUUCGGAUUGAGGUCUGCAACUCGACCUCAUGAAGUCGGAGUCGCUAGUAAUCGCAGAUCAGCAACGCUGCGGUGAAUACGUUCCCGGGCCUUGUACACACCGCCCGUCAAGUCACGAAAGUUGGUAACACCCGAAGCCGGUGGCCUAACCCCUUGUGGGAGGGAGCCGUCGAAGGUGGGACUGGCGAUUGGGACUAAGUCGUAACAAGGUAACCAAGGG
rnacentral:rRNA from 1 species